rnacentral:lncRNA from 1 species
CAGCAAAAGUGGUUCAAAAAUCUGCUGCAGGGUAGAUCCAAUAACUCUCCUUUCUCCUUUUCAGUCACCCACCCUGUUUGGGCUCCGAAGUACAUCAUAGGACCUACAGCUGCUCUUGUCCUAUUGCUGCUACUGGGGCUGGUCGGUGUUAUGGCUUGGAGAGGCAGAGCAAACGCCAGGGAAUGAGCAGCAAUGCGCGCGACCACCAAGCUGUGCCCGGGCUCUCCGGCUGGCAUCGGGCAAUCCCACACCUACAGCCAGACAAUGAACAUGGGCAAAGUACUGCAGGAACUCCAAGGACGGACCCAGGAUAUUUACAGCCAGUUGGACUCUCCCCAAGCUGGUUUCCACUGAGCUCUGCUGAAAUCCCAACCAGCUGGGACCCCCGCUGCAUGGCCGGGACCUUAAACACAAAGAGAAGCCAUCACUCAACAGGGCCAGAUCCCAGCAGGGAUCCACAAGCAUCGAUUUUCCAUUGUGCUGGGGGUGCUUGACCCCUGGCACUUCCCCAGGCCCCACCCCCACUCCACCCCUUCCCUCAAGGCCACACCCCUGUCCUGUCUCUCCCCUACCCCUGUCCCACCUGUUCCCACCCCUGAGCACACUGCAUCCUCGCUCCUCACCGCUUCCCCCACAAAACAGCUGAUUGCAGCAAGUGGGAGGCGCGAGGAGCGGGAAGCAUUGAUGGGGAGCUGCCGGUGAGUGCUCAGCACCCACCAUUUUUUUCCAGUGGGUGCUCCUGCCCCAGACCACCCGUGGAGUUGGUGCCUAUGUGGGAUAAAGCGGCAGUGUCUCCAUUGGAAUGAAUGGGGUCAGACCCCCAGCUGGGGUGACUCAGUUGAGAAUAAAUAGCUCCGAAAUGCAGCCA